CGGAAGAAAUAAUUAAAAGCCGAAAUAGUUAAAUAAAACAGUAUUUUAAAGUGCCACUCGACAUAUACAAUAUCAACUCUCGAAAAUCUAAUAACAUUUCCCAAAACCCGAAAUCUCAUGAUCACAAGCCUUUGAAUGUCUACAAGCAUCUAACUUCAGAAUAUCUAACAAAAAAACGAAAGUACAGAAGGGCUAAUACAAAAAAAGAAAGAGUAGAAAGGGACUCUUCAGUCUGCGGACGCGACAUAUAUACCUCAGAGUCUCUACAAGCAUCUCGUCUCAUGAGUGAUAAGUCUGAAUGGAGGUACCUGGAUCUGCACAUGAAAAGCAUGCACAGAAAGGGCAUGAGUACACCACAGCGGUACUCAGUAAGUGCCAAGCCUAACCUCGGUCGGGUAGUGACGAGGAAGGUCAGGGCCCUACUAAGGUUAAAUAAAAGAUAAGGUUUAAUAGUGUAGAACAAAAUAGUAUAAAUAAGUACAACAGUGAAAGUAACACAGGAUAUAAAGGACAUCAACAACUACUACAGAGGCAAAGUAAACAUAGAAAGAAAUACAACUCAACACAAAGAUAACAACCAGGAUCUCCCAGGAUACCGUCCUAUAGUCCAAAAUAUAAAUAUCCAGUGGAUCUCCCGAGAUACCGUCCCGUAUUCCAACUCAUAAUGCGAGGGGAUCUCCCGGAAUACCGAUCCGUAGCCCAAAUGUAAAUACUCAGUACAGGGGGAAUCUACCGGGUGCAGUCCCGUAGUUCCAAUGUAAAUGUGCAGGGGGAUCUCCCAGAAUACCAUUACGUAGUCCCAAAGUAAAUAUACAGGGGGAUCUCCCAGGAUACCGUCCCUUAGUCCCAAAGUAAACACACAACAACAACAGGAAGAGUACACAGUUCAAUUCAAGUUCCAUACCAAGGUAAAACAGGUAAUUCUAACCUAGCAUGCUGCAUGUAAUCCAAAUAAGGUAGUUUGAGCAAGUAAGACAAUUAAGUUAAUUAGACAUGCUUUCCUAAGCUAACAACACGCUUAAAUUGCAAGUAGUAUAAACAGGAAAAGAAACAUACUAGUAAAUACUUAAUGAAAACCGGAUUUUCAACAAUUAGCACAAGUACGCACUCGUCACCUCACGUACAAGGCAUUUCAAUUAUCAAUAAUACCAAAUUCUAAGGGGAAGGUCCCCCACACAAGGUUAGACAAACCACUUACCUCGAACCAGCUCAAAAUCAACCCGAAAUCACGUUCUUGCCACGAGUACUCGACUCCAAAUGGCCCAAAUUUAUUCAAUUCAAUUGCAUAAUGUAAAUAACACUACAAGUAACUGAUUCAACAAACAAAUUCUAGCUAAUACGCGAAAUUAGGUAAAAUGACCAAAAUGUCCCUCGGGCCCACGUCUCGGAAUCAGGUGAAAUUUACAUUUUCAGAAUCCUCAUACUCUCACGAGUUCAUUUAUAUCAAAAUUAUCCAAAUCCAAGGUCAAAUUCCCAAUCAAAAUUUGAAUUCUAGGUCUAAGAACUUUCUUCCAAUUUUCCCAAAUUUUCACCUUCAAUCCGAAAUUAAAUGACAAAACUAACAAUAGAUUAAUGGAAUACAACUAGAAAGGGUUAAAGAAUUGUUACCCAAUGAUUUCCUCUUCAAAUUCCUCCCAAAAUUGCCCUCUCCCGAGCUCCAAUUUGAUUUUUCCAAGUUUUGAACUAAACCCUCGAUUAUGUCCCUUUUCUGACUAGUGAAACCGCAUCUGCGGUCCCGCUUCUGUGAAGACCCUUUCGCAUCUGCGACAUUUCAUUAAAGGGGGACUUCCGCACCUGCGACUGCUCUACCUCAGAUGCGGUGCCCUGAUCGCAUCUGCAGUAAAUUGCCUUUUGCCUCAAACCGCUUCUGCGGUCCCCAAGCCGCAGGUGAGGUUAUGGCAGCAACCUUGAAGCUUCAUCUGCAACUCACAACUCCAAACCUUUCCGUCAAACAUCCGAAAUUAUCCCGAGGCCCCCGGGACCUCAACCAAAAGCACGAACAAGUCCUAUGCCACUAUUCAAACUUAUACCAAUCCUUAAAACACCUAAAACAACAUCAAAACAUCGAAUUAACCAUGGAUUCGAGCCUAAGAACUCCAAAAACUCCCAAAUUAUGCUUUCGAUCAAAAAGUCUAUCAGACCUCGUCUAAAUGACCUGAAAUUUCAUACACACGUCACAUUCAACACUACGGAGCUACCCUAAGUUAGCUUCAAAAAUUCAACUUUCGGCAUUUCAAGCCUAAAUUAGUUACGGACCUCCAAAACAUAAUCUGAACACGCCCCUAAACCCGAAAUCACCUAACGGAGCUAACAAAACCAUCGGGAUUCCAUUCCGAGGCUAUCUUUACACUGUUCCGACUACGGUCAAAUUUUCAAAACUUAAGCUCUCAUUUAGGGACUAAGUGUCCCAAAACUCUCCAAAACUCCAAAUAAACCCUUCCGGCAACUCACAAUAGCAGAAACAAAUACGGAAAAAGCAGUUAAUAGGGAAUCGGGGCGUAAAUUCUUAAAACGAUUGGCCGGGUCGUUACAGAAUGGCACAUAUGAAAUGAUCAUCACGAAAUAUACAAUGUAAAUAAGACAGUAAUGAAGUGGACACAACGACAAGCACAACAAGAUUGACUACAUAGAACUAGACAAAUAUUGCAACACAGAGGAAGACAAUUAAAAGUAUGCUGAGGAAAACAAUAAUCAAAGAGAUGUACAAAAGAAUGGGAAAAUCACAACAAGAUCCCUAUUGAGGUACCGCCUCGUAGUCUCAAAUCAUAAAAUGAAUCACAAAUUUUCCUUAUAUCAUAGCGGGAGCAUUUAUAUUUAGUUUUUGACAAUUAGUUUUCCUGAAAUAGCAUCCUGCAUUUUAGCCCACCUUAUCACACCGCAUGGCUUCUAGUAGUUCCCCUACUAGCCACGUGUUUCAAGCUCACCUUAUCUCAUCGCAUGCAUUUCAACACCAAGAUCUUAUACCACCGCAUGCGUAUAAAUAAUAACAACAACACGUUAGAAACCUCAUGCAACACAAUAACAAUUGCACAGAAGAAACCUCGUGCAAACACAAUAACAACCGCAUGGUAAAAAUCUCGUGGAAACCACUUAAACAUUCUCUAUAGAAUAACACGUGUGCCAAAACAUAACAACUCAAAUAAAUGAUUUUCACAAUAUGUGACCACAUGCCAUAAUAUUUCCUCAAAACAGUUUCAAUAUCACAACCACGUAUAGCUCUCGGCUCAACAACACUGGAUACAACAAAAACAACGACAAUAAUAUGAGAAUACGACAAAUAAAUCAACUCAGUAAAUUCAGAACACAAAGAAACGGAAGAACGAGCUCACAAAGAAAGAUACAACAUGAAUAGCUCAACAAGAAGGAGAUAAUAUGUAGCAAUAAUUCCACAAAAGUAUAAUUCGACGAUAAGAGAGAUAACAUGAAUCAAUGAUUCCAAAUAAAGAUAAGCCAACGAUGAUAAGGGAUAUCAAAACUUCAUUUAGGGUUGAGCAAAUUACGGAAAAGAUACAACAAAUUCAAUUAAGGAUAGACAAUUACAGAAGGAUAAUAAUAACUUCAGUUAAGGAUAGUCAAUUACAGAAAAGAUAAUAAUAACUUCAUUAAGGAUAAACAAUUAGGGAAAAGAUAACAUAGAAAUAAAAGAGGGAACAAUUUCAGUUAAGGCGAAUAAGAGUUUAAUUGGCAACAAGGGUUGAUCAUGAAGCCAUUAAUUCCAAAUAAGACACGUAAGGAUGAAUUUAAUAAGUGGAAAAUUUAACUUGACAAAACAACUUCAUAUAUAAUGAACAUGAGAACCUAAGGACCCUAGACGAUCAAAUUUUCACAAAUAAGUCUGAGCACGUACUCGUCACCUCGCGUACACGGCCUUCACAUGACACAAUUAGCACAAAUAUCUCAAAUCCUAAGGGGUAGUUCCCUCCCCCCCCCCACAAAGUUAGGCAAGAUACUUACCUCAAAAGAGCUAGACUGAUAGUCUAAAAUGACCUUCACGAGUGAAACAACCUCCGAACGGCUCAAAUCUAGCCAAAAUAACUUCAAAUCAUAAAUAAAACUCAUAGGAAACAAUUUAGGAUAAUAAAUCUUCAAUCUUUAGCAAAAACUAAAAAGUCAACCUCCGAGCCCGCACCUCAAAAUCCGAUAAAAUUUACAAAACGCGAACACCCAUUCCAAUACGAGUUCAGCCAUACCAAAAUUAUUAAUUUUCGACAUCAAUUCGUCCUUCAAAUCAUCAUUUUAUAUUAUGAAAGAUUUUUACAAAAUUUUCUAUUUUUCUCAACUCAAGCCACUAAUUUAAUAAUAAAAAUAAAAAUAGAACACGAAAUAUAAUUAAAUUCCAGAUGAAGAACACUUAUUCCAAUGGUUUGCUUGAAAAACUCACGAAAAAUCGCUCAAAUUCGAAGUUUACAACUCAAGAUAUGAUAAAAAUGGCCAAAACCUCGAUUUUGAAAAAUAUAUUCAACUGCCCAGGUAACAUGUAUCGCGAUCGCGAAGAAGAAAUCAUCAACUGCCCAGAGAAACAUUACGCCAACGUGGAGGCAAAAUUUUCCAAGAUACGUGAUCUCGGGCUCCUAUUCGCGAACGCGGAGAACAAUAUUGCCUGCCUCCAAAUUACACUACGAGAACACGAAGGCAUUGACGCAAACGUGAUGAAGGAAACCAGAUGACAGAAUGAGUAACUCUAAAGCAUUACGAAGUGGCCCGUAGCCCAUCCGAAACAUACCCGAGGCCCUCGGGACCCCAUCAAAACAUGCCAACAAGUUCCAUAAUGUAACGCAUACCUACUCGAGGCCUCAAAUCACAUCAAACAACGUCGGAACUACGAAUCACACCUCGAAUCGAACUUAAGAAAUUCCAAAUCUUCCAACUUCCAAACUCGUGCCGAAACAUACCAAAUCAAGCCUGAAUGAUGUCAAAUUUUGCAUGCAAGUCCCAAAUGAUAUAACGGAGCUAAUCCAACUCUCAGAAUUGCAAUCCGAGCCAAUAUCACCAAAGUCGACCCUCGUUCAAACCUCUCAACCUUCCAAAACUUCAACUUUCCAAUUUUUGCCAAAAUUCUUCAAAUUACCCUACGGACCUCCAAAUCCAAAUACGGACGCACGCCAAAGUCCAAAAUCACAUACAAAGCUAUUGGAAUCAUCAAAACUCCAUUUCAGAGUCGUCUACAGAAAAGUCAAAACUCCAGUCAGCUCUUACCGCUUAAGCUUCUAAAACAAGAAUCCUUCUUCCAAAUUGAUCCCGAAUCAUCCGAAAACUGAACUCGACCAUACAUGCAUGUCAUAACACAUAAUACGAAGCUGCUCGAAACCUUAAGCUGCCGAACGAGACAAAAAUUCUCUAAAUGACCGACCGAAUCGUUACAAAUAUUUAUAGCUUAAAUAUUUCCAAUCAACUAUGAGACAAAUGAGAUUAUUUUAUGAAAUUUAUAUACCAAAUACAAAUCUGUGCUUGUUCCUUAGCCAAAUCUAUUGAAAGGAUUAGAUAAUUUUCAUUAAUAAAUUGCAGUAAGAGCAAUAAAACUUAAGUGAUUCUUACCACAUCUAAUAUGUGUAGACCAGAGUAAAUCACUUUGUAAAGUUGACAGUCAUCUGAACUUAUUUAUAGCUUCAAGAUAAUCAAAUUGUAAGCCAAUAACAUUACUUUGUGAAAUGUAUAUGCUAAAUAUAGAUCUCUCUUUCAUUGCAAUCAGAAGCAGAAAAAGAAAAACUUUUCGAUUAAUCAGUUUUAUGAUACUAACUAUUAAAUCCAACUAUGAAUGUAUAAUUAUCGCUUCAUAUUACAAUUCGUUUCGCUAAUAUGAACUAUUUAUAUAAAGAACCUUAUAAAUAUCAUUAGGUACUUUAUUCAUAAAAUUGCAUCAAACACAGUAACAUAAUAUGCUAGAUCAAUUAGUGGUUAAUAGUUCUUUUUACUAUAAAAAUGUAAAUAAAGAACAUGCAAUGCCUUAUCAGUGACAAUCAACUAAACAUAUUUAUAGCUUAAAAGAUUAUGAACCUCUAAUACUCAAUAUUAUUUUAUGAAACUAUAUACUAAAUACAGAUAUGUGCUCUUUCCUUAAUCAAUUAUAUUAGUAGAAAAGAUUAAUUAGUUUCAAAUUUUUAUGUAAAUACUUGUAAGAGUAGUGAAAUUAAGAGAUUAUUACUGAAUGUGAUAAGUGGAGAGCAGAAGCCAAAUCACUUUGUAAAGUUGAAGAGGGCAAGGGAGUGAGUCGGGAACUAAUUCAAUUUUGGAAUUUGGCAGAUAUAAUCCUAGUGAGGCAAAGCAGCUUCAAUUGACAACUUAACGCAACUACAUUCAUAACUCUUGUAAUUGCCUUUGAUCUAGCCAGCCUAUACCCACUCACCUUAUCAGUCGUUAAUUGAAACAUGGAAAACCUAAGCUAAUUGGUCCCGUUGAGGAACAUACUGUACUUUCGUAAUUUUGGACUAUUUGCUUGAAACAAAUAAGUUUAAUCAAACUUAUCCCUGUAAUAAAUCUUUAUGAAAUCCAACUAAUAAAGCUUCUUGAAUGAGAUUCUAAUGUCUAACCUUGUUGAAACAAGGAUUUUCAUUUUAUUGUUCCAAUGUAAAACUCUAUCUGCUUUCACGAAAUCUUCUUUCCAUAACUUCAUAAACAUGAUUUAUUACAGGGAAAAGGGCCAAAAUUGUCCCUAUACUAUCGAAAAUUAGUUACGUUUAUACCCGUUUUUACUUUCGGUCCAAAUAUAGGCCUGCCGUUAAGAAAGUAGACAAAAUCGUCCCUAACCCUAACGGUUGUCCAUGACUCAGCAACUAAAAUGACACGGUGGACUCCAUGUCACUAUUUAUUUUCCAUCUGUAAUAAUAAAUAACUAAACUCACUAAAAUUAGUCUUCUCCUUCUCUAACAAUAUACCACCAUUGCUGCAAAUUCAAGGUUCUUAUCUUGCUCCACAAAAUUAUUUCAUAAAUUUCCAUCAUUACCAGUCAGUGUUUGAACCACAACUCCAACCGUCUUCCACCAAGAAAAUAUCCCAUCUUCUCUCCACCUAGAAAAUCAUCAGCAAUCACUCAUCGGAAAUACCCACCAAAAGCUUCAACAGAAACCAUCUCUUUAAAUACUACCAGCCACUCAUCAAAAAAUUACCUUUCUUUUCUUCCAUCUCUCGCUCCUCUUUACUGGUCAUAACUGGCUAGUGACACUCCUUUUCUACAAAAAGAAGAAGAGCUAGAUCCAGAAGAAAAAAAUCCUCCAUAAAAACUCAUUUACCGGUGACCUCAUGUUUCUUUUUAAAAUUCCACCCAAAGAAAAAAUCUUUUUUUGCUAAGAAAAUUCUUUACUACUUGAACAUAUCUAAACUAGUAAAAUCUUGAUGGAACAAUCUUUUUCGCAAACAAAGAAGAAUCAACUGGGUGAGAAUCGUUUCGGGAAUUUUUGAUCUGUUUUGGACUGAAUAGACCAAAGAAUCUAACAUUGGAAUGCUAAAACUAUUCAAAGCUGCAACUUGUUAUUUAAAUUAGAAUUAGUUAAAUCUUUGUGCCUUGAAUCUUGAAAGUUAGAGAAGAAGAAGAUUAAUUUUAGUGGGUUUAAUUAUUUAUUAUUACAAAAGAAAAAAUAAAUAGUGACAUGGAGUCCACCGUGUCAUUUUAGUUGCUGAGUCAUGGACAACCGUUAGGAUUAGGGAUGAUUUUAUCUACUUUCUUAACGGUAUGCCUAUAUUUGGACCGAAAGUAAAAACAGGUAUAAACGUGACUAAUUUUCGAUAGUAUAGAGACAAUCUUGGCCUUUUCCCCUUUAUUAUAAGUGGAAAAUUAAAGAAAAUGUAUAUGCAAAGUCCAAUCCGCACUAACGUACUAACCAAUCCUCUCCCAAGAUUAGUAGUGAUAUUAUUUUUGGUCUCUUUUCCAACAGCAAAGUAUCCCAAUACCCCAAAAAAACCAUACAUCAAAAAUAUGAAAGCCAUCGACAAACCCAAUUUUUUUUUUUUUUCAAAUUUGUCCUUAUCUUUCAUCUCUGAUUCCAAAAGGUAAAAUCGUUCCAACACCUUUUAAAGCAUAAAUAGAUACACCAAGACCGCGUUGGAAAAAAAACCUAAACCCACCAAAUACUUCAAAAACAUGUCUCUUUUUAAGAAAGAUUAAAACAUCCUCAACCAUAACUACCACCAUAGUACCUGAAUGAACAUCGGCAAAUAUACUCAAAGAGGUUAAGUGAGUAAUUGUGGGGAUUGAAUUCAACCCAAAUUGAAAUGGGAAACAACUCCAAAUAUGUCAGUUUUUUCUGGACGAAUGACAAAAAAUGAUGGACGAAUAAUCUAAUCAGUUUAAACAAUUUAUAUGCAGCAACUAUUCCGAAAAUCAAGAAAACAAGAAACUAAAACUCACCUUAUAACUGAACAAUCAAGGCGAAUAAACUGUCCAGGAAGAGAGCUGACUAAAAGAGACUAGAGAAUUGGAAGAGGAGGUGAGCAGCGGUGGAAAUUUUGAGGAAGAAACAGAGUGUAGAGACUGUGGAAAUCGGGAGGAAACAAAGUGUAGAUGAUAUUCGUUUGAGCGGUGUAAAG
rnacentral:lncRNA from 1 species